UACGUAGGGUGCGAGCGUUAAUCGGAAUUACUGGGCGUAAAGCGUGCGCAGGCGGUUGUGUAAGACAGAUGUGAAAUCCCCGGACUCAACCUGGGAACUGCAUUUGUGACUGCACGGCUGGAGUGCGGCAGAGGGGGAUGGAAUUCCGCGUGUAGCAGUGAAAUGCGUAGAUAUGCGGAGGAACACCGAUGGCGAAGGCAAUCCCCUGGGCCUGCACUGACGCUCAUGCACGAAAGCGUGGGGAGCAAACAGG
rnacentral:rRNA from 1 species